GUUCCCUUUCCACCGGGGUAGUGAAUGAUUCACAUUACACAGAAUUCCUUUUAAGUACAACUUCAUAGGAGUGACAAGCUCCAUCUGUUUUGUCAUUUCCAAAAAGAAGCCCCUCAAACGCUCCGAGGCCAGUUGGUUUCUAAGAGCUGAGUUUCAAAGAAGAAGAAGAAGAGGAGGAGGACGAGGACGAGGACGAAGACGAGGACGAGGACAAGGAGGAGAAGAGGAAGAAAGAAUGUUAAAGAUAAGACAAAUGAAGAUGAAAUAUUCUUGGUAGAGAAUAAAAAUCAGUGAAUGCAUUAA